GAGCUCUGUGUCUUUCUUGUGCUGGGGGCCCCAGGCCUGGGCACAGUACUCCAGAUGGGGCCUCACAAGAGCUGAGUAGAGGGGGACAAUUACCUCCCUCUCCCUGAUAGCCACUCCAACUCCACUUUCAAUAUUCUUGUUUACACAGAAAACACAAAACCUUUGAGGUUUUCAAAUUCUUCACAACUUAAACUCAUCUUAAGAUACUUAUAAAGUCAGUAACAUUUUCACACAGCCACUUUUUUUUUAUAAGGAAAUCGUUACUGUGAUAAAGCUCAUUUUAUUCAAAAUGCUUCAGUCUGCCACAUGCAGAGAUACAGCCCAAAGCUGGUCCUGAAAUGAAAGUAUACAAUCCUCCAAACUUACUGGAUCACUGAUGCAUUAUUUUAGGAGUAGACUGAAUGACUGUAUAAAUGAGGAGAAUUAGACACUAUCCUCUUUUUUUCCUCAUUCCUAGCUAGCUCCAUUUUUUAUUUUCAUUUUUUCCUUCUUCCUUCUAUAUGUGUGUUCAUGUGUGUUUGGCUAUUAUAAGCACAUUAUCAAUACUGACGUUACUCCCCAAAAUUCAUCUCAGAGGGUUGACUUUUAUGGCUCCCAUGAUUCUUAAGCCGCCUACAGUAUUUGUAACUCACAGAAUCAGAAGCUAACACACAGACAGUGUAGCUUUUCAUACAAAGGCACAAUAGGAAUGAAUGUAUUAACCUCUGUGGUGCACGGAAUGUGUCAGCUUACACACUGGCAGCUAUUUCUGUGAAACUCCGCUAACUUCCGCUGCCUGUGUUAAAAUAAAAUAAAAUCUUCCCCAGAAUUAUGUCCCAUGCUCUCUCAUGCUGGUCGAACAACUAAAAUAUCUGAUGUCAUAGAGAGCCUACUUCAUACCGAUGCUGGCCAAACUGAGUUUGAGAAAGCAUUUUACAUGCACUGUUUAUAAAUGUUGAGCAUUUCCUAGUAGGUAUAAAGCUCUGUGUUUCACGUGACUUGGCAAAUAAUCAUCAGCAGGGAAACAAAUUAGCAAUUGAGAGUAUGCAGGGAUUUUUUUUGUUUUGUUAUUACAAAUGACCGUCAAUCAGGACUGUCCGGGACUAAAGAUUAUUUGAAUCUUGAUUUCAUUUUAGUCCCCAGUUUUGACUAUGUUCAUCCUAUCAGCAAAGCAGAUGUGCAGAGAUGGACAUCAAAUUUUCUCAGUUCCAAGAGUUUGAUUAGUGUUGGAGUGCUUAUCAGGAACACAUGAGGAAUAUCCGUACCACUAAGAUGCGUGAACAGCACACUAACAUCUCAAAAUUUAGAACAGUUUGGGGAGUUAUGAAUCCCAUGCAGACAGCAUAGUUAAAAAAAGAUUCUUUAGUACCCUUCCAUCUGUUUUUAAAUUGCCCACGUUAAAAUAGUGUAAUUGAUAAUUAUCUGUACUAUAGCAGUACCCCAAAUGUGAUGGGCCCAUGAAACCCAGUGGCAGGAGCCAGUCAUUGCGCUGAGGGCUUACAGCCUAAAAUGCCAUAAUCGUGCUAAGCGACUUCUAAGCAGUUUAAAAGUGCGCAUCAGGACAGAGCUUUUCUGUGGCACAGUGCGAGUCUACACCCAGCCAGGCUGCACAACCCAUCCCUGAACAAUCUGAUGGAUGGGGCCAGCUAACAUGCCAGACUUGCAGCGCCAACUUAACCACAGUUAGAUUGGCAAUAACAAUACAAAAAGAUCUCUUCGUAGAAAACCAAUAGCGAUAUUCUUCAUACUCCAAAGAAGAAACUAUCUGCCAUUGUACAGCUGAAAUCAUACUGAAAAACCCCAAGAACAACGCACCACGCCACACUAUGAGUUGCCCUAGAAGAUCUGUAUCAUCUGCUGUGAAAUCUGACUUCGGUGGAGUCAACAGCAACAGCUCCUCAGACCGCAGUUGAACUGACAUUUCAGUCACCAUCGUGAAAAUGCUGGGAGUCACGUAUUAUCUAGCAACUAUCACAAGUGGAGUUAACUAGCAACAGCAGCAGUAACAAACACUAGGGUUAAGCACUGCUUCCUGAGAAGAAAUGAGAAAGCUUACACAACCUGAGUUAAUCUGCAUAGCCACAACGUGGGAGACACUUCACUAUAGUUUGGAAAAUGCAGUAUUCUGGCUGUCUGGUUUCAGCAUCAGCUGAAAUGGAAGGAGCUCACUGCUGGUAAAACCCAAUCCAUUAAUAUACAUAGGAUACUAGGGUUAACUCUUAACAACUGCACAUGGCACAGGCCAUUUAGUUAAAACUUCACUUUGAAGCAUCUACUCUUUAAUGAGAGAUUUCUAUCUGACAAAUAUAAUUAUAUUUAAUAUAAAUAUUAAUUAAAUAUACAAAAAUAUAAAUAUUAUACAUUGUGCAUAUAAUAAUA